CAAAAAUGAUGAAAUGGAGGCUGUCCUACUUUGGGCACAUCCGGAGAAGGCAGGAGUCUGGGGAAAAGACAAUCAUGCUGGCAGAAGUUGAAAGCAGCAGGAAAUGAGGAAGAGGGAACAGGAGAUGGAUCGACUCCCUCAAAGAAACCACAGGAUUUAUACAAGAGCUGAGCAGGGCAGGGGAAGGCAGGACCUUUCAGAGAGCGGUCAUUCCUAGGGGUCUCUGCGAGUUGACGACACGUCUGAACGACAAGAUACCGACGCCGUUGACCCACUUGUCGUGGGAAGACGGUGAAAUGGCAACAGCCCUCGCCUCUCAGUCCUCCUAGGGUUGAGCCAAAAGGCGCUCUCCGCGACGCCAGACCCCCUUGCAAGAGGGAAAGGCGGCCACCCUCGGACCCCCCCUCCCCUUCCAGGAAGGGGAAGGGGCUGCUUCUGCAGGAGGGGAGGGGGCUACCUACAGAUGCGAGAAAGGGGGGGCGAGGGAAAAGGAGACCAGCCGAGCUGCUUUUGCCUGAGAAGAACCCCCCCAUCCUCAGUUUGUCGCCUGGAAAUGGGGGUGGGGUGUCCACGCGUGUGAUCGUGUCCCAGCAAUGGACGGGCGGCAUAUUGGUGGGAGGGGGGCAUAGUCCCUUCUCACCCCCAGCCCUCCCCCUAGAUAUUGCUGGGGAGGGGAAGGAAAACAUCCCUGGAAAGGGGUCGAUGGCUCCGCACCGGUUGCGGGCGGAAGGAGGUGUGAUGGCAACACAGGCAGGCUGUGAAUCAUCUCCUCCUAGAAGAGGAGAAAGAGCAGUUAUGAAACUAUCUCAGGGACCUGCCUGACUCCUACCUUGGGAGAAAUUGCUAAACCAGAUCUCAUCUCUUCAUUGGAAGAAGGGGAAGAUCCAUUUAUCCAGGACUGUGAGGAAAAGUGGAAAGUGGCAAAUACCUGUUCAGGUGUGUGAUGGGGCUGUGAAGGAGAGUCCGUGAAUUUUCCUGUCUCUGUUUAGUCAGUGACAUUAAUCACUGACAAGAUAUACUGAGUCCACCUGCUUUUCAUAGUCUGGUCAGCUGAUGCAGAAGGA
rnacentral:lncRNA from 1 species